UACGUAGGGCGCAAGCGUUGUCCGGAAUUAUUGGGCGUAAAGAGCUCGUAGGCGGCUUGUCGCGUCGACUGUGAAAACCCGAGGCUCAACUUCGGGCUUGCAGUCGAUACGGGCAGGCUAGAGUUCGGUAGGGGAGACUGGAAUUCCUGGUGUAGCGGUGAAAUGCGCAGAUAUCAGGAGGAACACCGGUGGCGAAGGCGGGUCUCUGGGCAGUAACUGACGCUGAGGAGCGAAAGCGUGGGGAGCGAACAGG
rnacentral:rRNA from 1 species